rnacentral:rRNA from 1 species
UUCAGUUGUUGUGGGGAGUUUUUGGUUAAAUUCCCAAAAGGGGGCCACCCUUUUUCUUUUUUCCCCACCAUUUAGUGGGGCAUUUUAAGAGAACUCCCGGGGAUAACGGGGGGGAAGGUGGGGGAUGAUUUAAUUUCCUUUGGCCUUUUGGUCCAGGGGUUACACAUUUGUUAAAUGGGCGGUGACAGUGGGAGGAAACGGGGGAAGCGGGGGCAAUUCUAAAAAA